rnacentral:ncRNA from 1 species
AAAUAAUAAACAACUUACUCAUAUAAUAGUGGGGAUAUGGCCCACGAGUUUCUACCAAUUCGCCGUAAAUGAAUUGACUAUGAGAGGCAAUUAU